ACCAGGCGUCACUGACCCUUUUGAUCCCUACUCAGGUGCUCAGCUGCCCCAGGGAGCCACCGCUGGAGCCGAGGCCAUGCCCCACUGGAGCAGAAGUGAUUGCAGCCAGUCCCCAGAUGGAGGAGUCCCUGCAGAGCUCAGUCCCUCCUUGCAGAAGACAUUGUAGUCAAAGACCUAAUGAUCUUGAACAGCUGGGAGUAACUGGAAACACCACCACACUGGCCAGACCAACAGUGUCUUCUGCCUGGAGAACCUACAAACAGGAUCAACAGCAUCUAGUGAUGUAGCCGUCAACUGUGGCAUAAUCAGGCUCACCUGAAA